UACGUAGGGGGCUAGCGUUGUCCGGAAUCAUUGGGCGUAAAGCGCGUGUAGGCGGCCCGGUAAGUCCGCUGUGAAAGUCGGGGGCUCAACCCUCGGAUGCCGGUGGAUACUGUCGGGCUCGAGUACGGAAGAGGCGAGUGGAAUUCCUGGUGUAGCGGUGAAAUGCGCAGGAUAUCAGGAGGAACACCGAUUGCGAAGGCAGCUCGCUGGGACGUGACUGACGCUGAGACGCGAAAGCGUGGGGAGCAAACAGG
rnacentral:rRNA from 1 species